rnacentral:lncRNA from 1 species
CGCUCUCUCCUUUGGAUGACUGAUGAGAAUCUCAAGCCCCACAUGUCCAAGACGGAAAUCUGCCAAAGGUGGUGGAAUCAGCCUUGACGUAAAUCCCAUUAACCCAAUUUCAGAAUACGCCCCCGAUCAGCACUUCUCACCAGCACCCCCUGAUCGAAGUCACUGUCUCUCGCCUGGACUCUUGCAAUAGCCUCUUAGCCGGUCUCCAGGGUCCCAUCCUCGCCCCGGCUUCCCUGGCCCCCACUGCCUUGUCUCCACACAGCAGCAGAGCCAUCCUAUUAGGACAAAUAGAACAGGUCGGUUUCUGAUCAAAGCUCAUCGAUUUCUCUCCAUCUGAAGUGCUGACCAGCCUGCAAGGCCAUCCACGGCCUGCCCCCACCCCCACCUCUCCAGCUUAUCUGCACUUCUCUCUCCUCCACUUCCCAGGCGAGCAUGCUCCUCCCCCAGGGCCUUUGCACAUGCUGUCUGAGGCUCUCUUUCCUGGGCUUGCUCCCCACUCCUUCUGGAUCUCCACUUUCACGCCACAUCCCAUCAGUGACAUCUUUCAUCAGAGCCCUCGUCCUUCCUGCUCGUUCUGCGUAGCCUGUCACCACCUGACAUCACUAGUGAUUUGUGUGUCUUCAUUUACACGCUGCGUGUUUAUUCAUGUCACUCUAUUUUCAGCCAACUCAGAGGGAGACCUUGUGUGUCUGUGCCCUGCUCUGAGCCGGGUGGGGCUGGAGACCCGCACUCCCCACUGUCCGUCCUGCAGAAGGAGACAGCUCGACGCCAGCAAGGCGCUCGCGAGAGACCAAGACAACACUUGUUGCUGCCCCGUAUCAGGGAGGAACGUGAGCUGACAGUCAUUAUCUUAUAUAACUGGGUGCCCUAGAAUUUUCAGAACAAUCACACUUUCCUUAACGGAAAAUAGAGCAAAGGCAGAGCUCCACGGAGCAGCCGCGGGUCACAUGCUGCCCGGCUGUGGGGGGCCGGCCGGCUCACGGUUCAGAUGCUCACACGCAGGUCGUAGGACCAGUCAUUGCAGGACUACAGGUCACAGGUAUGAAAAGGUGCUCGUCGACGGUCAACAGGACCCCUCAGCAGACUGAACCCGUGUCGACGAAGCGAAAAGCAGCCCCGAGGACGGCGCUGGCCUGAGACCAGGCUCCCCAGCGCGGGCGGAGUCUGCUCCUGGGCAGGGAACUGGCCGUGGCCCGCGGUGCGGUGCAGGUUCGAGUCUUCGGAAGAUUCCUGCGGUGGGUUAACCUUUGAUCACAGUUUCCACGCUUAGCGCCAGGGUAACUGUGGAGCCUCCUCAUCUCCAGACAGGACAGCGGUGCGUCCUCCUCGCUUCCUGACAGGAUGACUGUGAGGCCUCCUCACCUCCUGGAAGGAUGACCGUGUGGCCUCCUCACCUCCUGAGAAGACGACUGUGCGGCCUCCUCACCUCCUGGCAGGAUGACCGUGUGGCUUCCUCACCUCCUGACAAGACAACUGUGUGGCUUCCUCACCUCCUGGAAGGACGACCGUGUGGCCUCCUCACCUCCUGACAAGACAACUGUGUGGCUUCCUCACCUCCUGGAAGGACGACUGUGUGGCUUCCUCACCUCCUGACGAGACAACUGUGUGGCUUUCUCCCCUCCUGGCAGGAUGACCGUGUGGCCUCCUCACCUCCUGACAAGACAACUGUGUGGCUUUCUCACCUCCUGACAGUGUGACCGUGUGGCCUCCUCACCUCUUGACAAGAUGACUGUGCAGCCUCCUCACCUCCUGAUAGAGUGGCUGUGUGGCCUCCUCACCUCCUGACAAGACAACUGCGUGGCUUCCUCACCUCCUGACAAGAUGACUAUGCAGCCUCUUCACCUCCUGACAGGGUGGCUGUGUGGUGUCCUCACCUCCUGACAGGACAACUGGAGCCUCCUCACCUCCUGACAGUGUGACGGUGUGGCCUCCUCACCUCCUGACAAGAUGACUAUGCAGCCUCCUCACCUCCUGACAGGGUGACUGUGCAGCCUCCUCACCUCCUUACAGUGCAACUAUGGGGCUUCCUCACCUCCUGACAACUGUGCGGCUUCCUCGCCUCCUUUCAGGGUGACUAUGGGGCUUCCUCUUCCCCAUAAGUCAUGGGGAAUGAAUUCUCCCAGCCUUGCCUAGCAUGCACUAAUCAAGCAGCUCACUUCUUCCUAGGAAUCUUUCACUUGGAGGAAAAACCAGGAAGAAAAAAAGACGAAAUGGGAAGUACUUGUGAUGACUGUCCGUGGCCAAGCCCACGUCUAGGAAAACUCACUUCUUUCCUCACUCUCCCGCAUCACUUCUGGCAGCACAUGUCCGGGUUUUCCCGCACGAUCAAUUCUCCAGCACCUGCAGGGUGUCCUAGGAUUCGGUUCAGUUCUGACACUAUCCAGUGCAGUUGGCGUCAGAUCCCACAGGAUAAGGCUCAGCCCCACAGGACUGCCCCCACUUCAGACGCGAGUUGCAAGUCCCAGGUUGUCACCUGUGCUCCUGAUCAGCUACAAGACAGGGGGCUCAUGACCCCUCCUUGGGUUCAAUAGUUUGCUGGAUCGUCUCAGAACUCAGGGAAUUGACAUGUUUAUUGGUUUAUUACACAGUAAAGGAUGUGAUAAAGGUCUGAAGACGUGAUUAGGUCCAGAAGGGUCAGAACACAGGAGUUUCUGUCCCCUUGGUCUUGAGGGCACCACCCUCCCAGCAGGUGGAUGCGUUCCCCAGCCCGGAACCCUCCAGGCCCUGCACUGUCGGGGUUUUCGGGAGGCUUCAUCACAAAGGCAUGAUCAGUCAUUAACUCCACUUCCAGCCCCUCCCCCUCCCUGGGGAACAGGAGGUGAGGCUGCAAGUUCCAGCUGCUAAUCGAGGUGUGGUCUUUCUGGAGGCCAGUCCCUAUCCUGAAGCUCCAGGACCCACCAAGAGUCACUUCGUCAGAACAAAAGAUGCUCCUAUCGCCCAGGAUGUUACAAGGAGCUCUGGGUCGGGAACCGGGGUCAAGGUCCAAACAUUAGGACAGCAGAUGCUCCCGGCACCUUAUCACUCAGGAAAUUACAGAGGUUUAGGCGUCGUGGUCAGGAGCGGGGCAAAGACCGGAAUCCAUAUUUCUUAUUACAGACAGUCCCCGACUUAGGAUGGUCCGGCCUACGGUUUUCCGACCUUACGAUGAAGUGAAAGUGACACGCAUUCAGCAGACUGCUGGGUUUUGAAUCUUGAUCUUUUCCCCGGCUGGUGAUACGCAGUGAGUACAGCUCCCAGUCAGCCGGCGAUCAUGAGGGGGGACAACCGACACUCUUACAGCCACUUGGUUUUUCACUUUCAGUCCAGUGCUCCGUGAGGUACCUGACACAUUCAUUACAUCACAGAAAACAGGCUCCGUGCUGGGUGACUCUGCCCAAGUGCAGGUGUCUGAGCAUGUGAAGGAAGCUGCGCUGAGCUACGGCGUUCGGUAGCUGAGGGGCAUUGCGUGCGUUUCCAACUCAUCUUUUCAACUCACGAUGGGACGUAACCCCAUCGUAAGCCGAGGAGGUUCUGUGCCUCAUAUCACACCUCCUUUCCUCUUUAGUGGCAGUUCUCCUGACCUUUAGGUGGGCACACGGUCACCUGAAUUAUUGACAUAUUUCCCAGCCUCCCUUGCAGUCGGUGUAAGUGGGUGAUGAAGUUGGGGUGACGGAGCAGUCAGAUGUGAGGGCUGGAGCUCCAGCAGUCAUUUUGGAAGGGAGAAUGGAAGCCACGAGCAGCGGGAUGAAGCAUUCCUGGUCGCUGGUGCCACCCCCUCCCCCUGCAAACAUCAUGCGAGCUCCUAGGGCCAACCUCCGUGCUUCCUCUACGUAAAAGAAGACGCGCUCCGCCUUGUUUUAGCCACCAUUAUGCUGGUUUCUGUUGAUGCAGCUGAACCUAAUCAUAGAGAAUAACAAACAACACCACCACAUCUGUAACUGUUACAAGGCCGCCUCUGCUGCAGCAUCGCCCAGCCUGCGUCAGCAUCCUGUCACAUCCUGGUUCUCAUGGAGGCCUUCGGUCCCGUGCAGCUGUCUAAGAACCGCUGAUCACUCUGGCCCUGCUGGCGUGGGAUUCAGGGGGAGCUCCUACAUGUUCCAGGAAACCCCAGCACUGUCUUUGGUUCUGACUCGGUGUCCCCGGCUUUGUCCGCCUCUCACUCACGGCAAGUGUCCUCCCCUGCCUUUCUGACCUCGUUGGUUGUGGCAAAGUCCACUGAGUAGAUGGCUCAACAUCGGGCUGCUCUCCUGCUGGUGUCCGGUCAGCCCUGGGCUGUGCUCACCGGUAAGACCUCCUGGACCAGGGUUCUCUGCCCGCAGACCAAGCCCUCCAGCCACAGCCUGCCGGCUGCUUGUGUCCCUGAGACGUGAGCGGGAACAGAGCUGGUGCGCAGAGGUCUCCAGAGGAGCCUGGAGAGGGACACGUGCAGCUGCUGCCUGCCAGCAGGCCGAUUCUUCAUCUCAGGACAUGUGCCUCCCAGGGGGUGUCAUCGUCCCAGCCUUGGAGAUAGGGGAGGUGGCCUGUCUGAGGUCACGCAGUGGGUGCCUGGCGAGCCUGCCAGUCCCAGGCCUGCUCUCCUGCAGCGGCUCCGUGUGCACGGGCUGUGGACAAGACCGUGGCACAGGUCACGCUGAGCAGUGCUGCAGACUCAUGGACACCACACCCUCUGUGCCCCCCGAGGGAGCGUGUCACCUGCCAGGAGGUCCCAGUUCCACGUGGGGGGCUCAGCCCCAGCCCCAGAGUGGAGCCUGGGCACAGGUGUGAGACCCCUGGCCCAGCUCACGCACCUGUACUCGGUUCCCAAACAGCAGCCACACGGCCACCACCCAGGACCAACGUGUCCUGUAGAGAAGGCAGGUCUGGAAUGUUCCAGAGCACAGCAGCCGGACGUGAAGGAAGAGAAAGUGAGGCUGCUGAGAAGACCCGUGUUCUUGGGCUGACCUCUGCUGGAGUAUGGCCAGGCCGUCUCUCUGGGCCUCCUGAGCCACAGUUAGGCAGCUGGUUUAUGAACCAUGAAGCAGGCUUUACUCAGUGGCCACAUCAGCUUCUGCUGGAAUUCACAAACUGGUGCAUCUUUCACAUCAUCCAACAAAGGGUCACCCGUCUGCUCUCUGCUUCGGAAAGAGGGCAACUGUCAGGUCCCGCCCUGUCUGCAGUGACGUCCAUCUCUGCUUUAACUGUGCUGCCCCUGUGGACGGCAGGGAGGGCUUUGCAUCCGCUGACGGGGCCUCAAUGGGAGGCCGCAUGCCUGCUUCUUAUUGCAAGGAAGAACCAAAACGAUCAGAAGGGCUCCAGCCUCCUCCCCCAGGCCCACCGUGCACCGUGGGGCAGCCUUGUGGGUCAGUCCGAGAGGACAGCCACAGCCCAGGGGUGUCGGCGACUUUCACAGGCUGCACUGCCAUCCCACGGCCUCCCACCCCGAUGUCUCUGGGAUCAUCCUGAGCGUUGUGAGCUACGCCCCUCGUCACAAACACACCCGUGUGCCACACAGGGCUCCCUCCAGAAGUGGCUGUGCAGGGAAACCCUGAGGCCCCCAUCUGCGCUGGCAUUUGCAGAGGUGACCCUGGCAGCCCCCUACUGUGUCCCGGGCAGGUCGGGUCACCUGCCCCCAGCACCAGCCUCUGCCACUUCAGUGGUGCCCACAGACCAGUGUCCCCCCUGCUCAGACAGCCCCAAUGUCUCUGGAAAUGUCACACCACGUGGUACAAGCCGCUUUCCAGCUUCUGGAGCCUCUCGGCCCCCUGUGAGCACAGACACCGAGCAGCUCCAACACCAGGAGGGCGGCGGCUGCCGGCGGGGAGGGACGCCACCGAUGGCGGUCACAGGCUGGAGACUCAGGGUGAUGGGAGAGAAAGGACGUGGUCACCAGCGAGGACCAGCCUCCCAGCGACAGCUGAGAUGGGGCUGUGAUGUGUCGACCUCCUUCAACCUCCACUGUGGAAGUUUCCGGCAGGUUGGAAGGGGGGUGAGAAGCAUGUUGAUUCCCUCCACCCCCCAGCCAGUCUACCCCAAUAGAAGAGCCCUCGAUGGGAAGGAGGGGAGAUGGGGCAAGUGGACAGGCAUGUGGACUCCCCACACAGGACCACGCAGGCCUGGUUCACAUCGUCAUCUGGACGGACGGGCAGCCUCACUGGUCAUGCACAGAAGCUUCCAGGACGGGGAGCGAGCUCUGGAGCCCCAAACCGGUCCAUCUGUUCCUGAGAGCCAGCGACAGCCCGGCAUGCAGGCUCUGGGCAGGAGGAAGGAUUCAGUUUCCGGGGAUGAGAAAGCAUGAACACUGUCACUGUCGCUUCUCACUUAAAAACCCAUAGUUUCAGCCUUAUGCUGUCGCCUCCUGGAUUCUUCGCAUUUCAACACCCCAUCAACCUGUUGAACUGAAUAAUGAGGCAGGUGUGGGAAGGGCUGUGUCUUCUGCAACGGACGGAGGGUUUGGAGUCGCUCCCUGACACAAUUGGGAAAAAGAAAACUAACCGAAUUGUGGAAAGGCCAGCCACUAUCACCGACUGCCUCUCAUCAUGAAGAAAUGCGUUUUCAGAGCAAGCCCACUUGUCACUGAGAAUGACUGACAGCCCACCCCAGAGGAUGCCUCCGGAACAGGGCUCCUGCGGUGCAGGGGGAGGCAUGACAGCGGCGCUCAGCAGUGGCACUGACAGCAGGUCCCCACCUUGUGCACCUGGUCGGGUAGCCUGCUGACGAGAGACAACUGCCACCUGUCCAGACGCAGAGCAGCUUUGAUCCAAGGCUUCAGAACAAAACUAUUUUAUAAGCAGGUUUAACCGUAC